rnacentral:lncRNA from 1 species
AGUGGCUGUGCCUGUGGCCUUUGACGCUCAUCCUGACUCCUGACUGAUGAAUUAUUUGGUCGACUGAGGCAGAAUCACCUUUACUGGAGCAUAAUCUGUUGGAGGCAGCAUCUCCUGAAGUCUCCAUGAGUUGCUGGAAUGAAGAAAUGUGUCAUAUGUGAACCAAAACACAUGUAAAAAUUGUUGACAAUAGCACCAUUUGUAAAAGACUAAAACUGGAAACCACCAAAUGAUCAGCAACAGAGAAUAAAAAAUUAUGGCUUAUUUCUACAAUGGAUUGCUAUGCUGCAGUAAGAAUGAAUGAACAGCAGCUACACACAACCGGUAUGGAUGAAUCUCAUGAACACAAUGUGAAGGGAAAGAAGGCAGAAACAUACUUAUCACACCCUCCAUUUAUAUAAAACUCAGAGACAAAACAAAUUUAUGGUGUUAGGAGUCAGGUUCCUUUGGGGAAGAGAGAGGGAGUAGUACCUGAAUGGAGGGGGCAUGGAGGGGGCUUCGGGCAUGCUGGUAAGAUUUUUGUUUUGUUUUUAAUCUGAGUGAUAUAGGUGGUAGUUACUUUUUGAUGUUACAUCGAGCUGUACACUUAUGAUCUGUUCAUGUUUCUGUAUGUAUUUUAUACUUCAAUAAAACAUUAGUGAUUUGUGAAUACUC